rnacentral:rRNA from 1 species
GGAUCAUUAUAGAGUUUUCUAAACUCCCAACCCAUGGUGAACUUACCUUUUGUUGCCUCGGCAGAAGUUAUAGGUCUUCUUAUAGCUACUGCCGGUGGACCAUUAAACUCUUGUUAUUUUAUGUAAUCUGAGCGUCUUAUUUUAAUAAGUCAAAACUUUCAACAACGGAUCUCUUGGUUCUGGCAUCGAUGAAGAACGCAGCGAAAUGCGAUAAGUAAUGUGAAUUGCAGAAUUCAGUGAAUCAUCGAAUCUUUGAACGCACAUUGCGCCCAUUAGUAUUCUAGUGGGCAUGCCUGUUCGAGCGUCAUUUCAACCCUUAAGCCUAGCUUAGUGUUGGGAAUCUACUUCUCUUAGGAGUUGUAGUUCCUGAAAUACAACGGCGGAUUUGUAGUAUCCUCUGAGCGUAGUAAUUUUUCUUCUCGCUUUUGUUAGGUGCUAUAACUCCCAGCCGCUAAACCCCCAAUUUUUUGUGGUUGACCUCGGAUCAGGUAGGAAUACCCGCUGAACUUAAGCAUAUCAAUAAGCGGAGGAAAAGAAACCAACAGGGAUUGCCUUAGUAACGGCGAGUGAAGCGGCAACAGCUCAAAUUUGAAAUCUGGCCCUUGGGUCCGAAUUGUAAUUUGUAGAGGAUGAUUUUGGUGCGGUAUCUUCCGAGUUCCUUGGAACAGGACGCCUUAGAGGGUGAGAGCCCCGUACGGUUGAAUGCCUAGCCUCUGUAAAUCUCCUUCGACGAGUCGAGUAGUUUGGGAAUGCUGCUCUAAAUGGGAGGUAAAUUUCUUCUAAAGCUAAAUAUUGGCCAGAGACCGAUAGCGCACAAGUAGAGUGAUCGAAAGAUGAAAAGCACUUUGAAAAGAGGGUUAAAUAGCACGUGAAAUUGUUGAAAGGGAAGGAUUUGUGACCAGACUUUUUCUGGGCGGAUCAUCCGGGGUUCUCUCCGGUGCACUUCGCCCAGUAAAGGCCAGCAUCGGUUUUCGGCGUGGGAUAAAAGCAGUAGGAAUGUGGCUCUCUACGGGGAGUGUUAUAGCCUAUUGUAUAAUACCGCGCUGGGGACCGAGGU